UACGAAGGGGGCUAGCGUUGCUCGGAAUCACUGGGCGUAAAGAGCUCGUAGGUGGUUUGUCGCGUUGUUCGUGAAAUCUCACGGCUUAACUGUGAGCGUGCGGGCGAUACGGGCAGACUAGAGUACUGCAGGGGAGACUGGAAUUCCUGGUGUAGCGGUGGAAUGCGCAGAUAUCAGGAGGAACACCGGUGGCGAAGGCGGGUCUCUGGGCAGUAACUGACGCUGAGGAGCGAAAGCGUGGGGAGCGAACAGG
rnacentral:rRNA from 1 species